rnacentral:rRNA from 1 species
UGGGGAAUAUUGGACAAUGGGGGCAACCCUGAUCCAGCCAUGCCGCGUGUGUGAAGAAGGCCUUCGGUUGUAAAGCACUUUAAGCAGGGAGGCGUUACCUGCAGAAUAAGCACCGGCUAACUUCGUGCCAGCAGCCGCGGUAAUACGAAGGGUGCAAGCGUUAAUCGGAAUUACUGGGCGUAAAGCGCGCGUAGGCGGUUUGAUAAGUUGGAUGUGAAAGCCCCGGGCUCAACCUGGGAAUUGCAUCCAAGACUGUCAGGCUAGAGUACGGGAGAGGGGGUAGAAUUCCACGUGUAGCGCGAAAAUGCGUAGAGAUGUGGAGGAAUACCGGUGGCGAAGGCGGCCCCCUGGAUCGAUACUGACGCUGAGGUGCG